GAGCUACCGUCAUUUUCUUGACUCAUAAAAGGAGUUUACACACCGAAAUGCGUCAUCCUCCACGCGGCGUUGCUGCAUCAGGGUUUCCCCCCAUUGUGCAAUAUUCCUC
rnacentral:rRNA from 1 species